GAUGCAGAUCUGGAUGUGGACGGUGAUGAUACUUUGGAAUAUGGAAAAGCACAAUACACAGAGGCGGAUGUGAUUCCCUGUUCAGGAAAUGAACCCAGAGAUGCAGAGGAGAGGCAGGCAUUAAGAGGAGCUGUUUUAAAUGGUGACACAGCUAGCAGGUUAUCUCCAGAGCAAACCAAGUUGGCAAACUCAG